GCCUUGAACUCCUGGGUUCAAGCUAUCCUCCUGCUCAGCCCCACAAAGUGUUGGGAUUGCAGGUGUGAGCCACCAUGCCUGGCCUACAUGAAACAUAUGCUUAUUUGGUUUUGAUUUUUACACUUUUAUGAUGCCAAGAUUAACCCCCAUUACCCUCCAAAAAGGAACAUCCUACUAGCUUCACAUUACAACUGGAAUAUUAACACAAUGUAAAUAGAGAAAACAGAGAUGGGGUGAUUAGGAGAUUUAAUAAGAAUAAAUCUUAAGGGGAAAUAGAAUGAAACGUAUAAGGUAAAGGCAGAAGUUAAUAGAAAUAGUAUAAUUGGUAUAAUAGGAUCCAUAAAGUCAAACACGGAUUCAUUUUUUAAAAAAGAAUACAUUUCUGUCCAGAUUUAUUUUUUUAAAAAGCUGGGUGCAGUUGCUCGCAUCUGUAAUCGCUGUGACUUGGGAGGGAAAUGGGAGGAUUGCCUAAGCCCAGGAGUUAGAGGCUGCAUGAGCUAUGAUCGUGCCACUAGACUCCAUCCUGAGUGACAGAGCAAGACCCCAUAUCUGAAGAAAUAUAUAUUUUUAAACUAUUCAUGUUGUAAAAAUUAAGAUAUUUAUUUUUCAAGAAGCUAUUAUGAACAAUUUCAUGGCAACACAUUUCAAAAUUUCAUGGGCAAAUUACUCAAAACUAUGUUGUCAAAAUAAUUUUAAAGGAAAAAUGGAAUAAUCAUUAAAGAAAUUUGAUUGAUAUUUUAAAAUCUUCCCAGAACACAAACACUAAACCCAGAGAAGUUUUCAGGAACGUUCUACUGAACAUUCAGGAAAAAAAUAAUUCCAAUUUUAUGUAAAUUAUUCCAGAACAUAGAAAAAGAGGAAGCACUCCCCAAUUAAUCUCAAUCAUGAAGACAAAUUUGAAAAAUCCAAAGCAAGAUAGUAAAGCAAAUUCAGCAAUAACUAGAAAUCAUUAUCAAGCUGAGUUUGUUCCAGAAUGUCAGGGUGGUUUAACAAUGGAGGAAAAAGAUCACAUCUCAAAAGAUGCAGGAAAAAAGGUUUGGUAAACCUUGGCAGCCAUUUAUAAUUUUUUUUAAAUUAAUUUUAGAAAGCUUGGAGUAGAGAACUCUUUUAAUAAGUGGCAUUUACAAAAAGCCUACAGCAAAUAUCUUACUUUAUGCUGAAUUACUAAAUGAUUUCCUUUAAGAUUAUAAACAAGAGUGGGAUAAUCACUAUCAUGAUUUCAACAUUGUACUGGGGGCCUAGCAUAUGCAGAAUAGCAGGAAAGAAAGUGAUUAGGAUUGGAAAUCCACCCUAUAGUAACGCCAAGUAAAUCACAACCUCUCUUUGAGUGUGGAUGAGACCUGAGACUUGCUUCCAACGACAGAAUAUGGCUAAGGUGAUGGGGAUAGUCACUGCUUUGACUGGUUCAUGUUGUAUGGCAAAAGUAAUGGAAUAAUUACUCUUGCGAUUAUGUGAUGUUACAGAAGAUUCCUUUGUAGCGGACCAGAGUGCACCAUCAUGUUGUAAGAAGGCCCGUGAAUGAGCCACCUGGCAAGAAACCUUGGGGACAACUAGGAGCUGAUGGAAACCCCCAGCUGACAGCCAGAACAAGGCAAGGACUCCAUCCUACAGCCUCAGCUGAAUCCUACCAACAACCAUCUGAACUUACAAGAGGACACUAAGUUUUAAAAAGGACCACAGACUGGCUGUCACCUUGAUUACAGCCUUGUGAGACCCAGAGCAGGAGACCAACAGGAACUGUGAGAUAGUCUGGAAGUCAGAAAGUCCAAGAUGAAGGCACUGGCAGGUUCAGUUAUCUGGAGACCUGUCUGUGAGUGGCUGGGAGACCUGUUUAAUUCUGGGGUAUAGAAUUAAGAUGGCCGUCUGCCUGUAAGUAGAAAUAAACUGCAUUCUCCCAAAUCAGCUUUGUUCAUAAUAAAAGUAAUAUUCUGGCCUCCCUAUA